rnacentral:tRNA from 1 species
GGUGGCUCAAUGGCAGAGUGCUUGCCUUGCAUGCAUGAGGCCCUGGGUUCAAUUCCUCACAGCACCA